UCAGAAGGAUACUUAAUAGCAGAAAUCUAUGGAAAUAUUCUAAUUGUCUGUUGUCAGUCUGGUGCGCGCUUAUGAAAUUCUAAAUUUACCACAUCAAAAAUCCACAAGUGGCACUAAAAAUAGUAAAAAUAAAAAACUGGGUAUAGCUCCGAUCUACCGCACACAGUUCGAAAAUGAGUUUCUUGGUUUCGAAUACGGCGGUUUCUCAGAAAGUUCUCAGUCGUAUGCAAGUUCUUAUCGUUUUGGUGGUAAUAGUGGUGGAAAUUCUUAGUGUUCAUAGUUUUAAAAAUUCGUGUCAUUCCGGACAAAUAGGUAUUGCCGAAUUCGAUUUAAAAUUGAGAUGUGGAGAAAGUCAACUUCCCUGUGGAAAGCCGCAGAAAAGGGCUAUGCUAUUAAGGACAUUAUUGGAAUUGAAUCUCACAACUCCUACAACACCUAAUAUGGUUAUACUCUACAGGUGCGAAGACAGCGGAUGUUGUGCCCGAAACCACGAAAGAUGUUCAAACAGUAGUGCAACGGAGCAUCAAAUAAAUUUCAUUACUAACACAGGAUUGCAAAAAUCAAUGACGAUAUACAACCACACCGCCUGUUCGUGUAUGUACAUUCCAGAGACGCAGGAAUGCUUUCUAUAAAUAUCCAGUCGAUUAGAAGUAUGAUAAAUAAAUAUUUAAAUAAAAACACAGUAUUAUACGAUGUUAUGAGGUGCCUUCGAUACAGGUACUAAAACGAAAAGUCAAAAUAUAGAAAGGAAAAUGUUUUAAGUAGACAAGACAAGAAUCCAAUUUAAUGCAAAUUGGUUUUUGCUAAAAACUUUUUAUAUUCUAACAGUUGCACAAAAACGUCCAAGACAAGAAAAAAAAUACGUUAUUAGAAAAAUUUUACGGAAUAUACGAAUUUCAAUGUAAAAUUUAUUCAUCCAACUGUGUAAGAUAAAUUAUAUUAAACUGUUCCAAUGGAUUCUCACUUGCCUCUUUGACUGCUUUAUUUAAUAACAAAAUUGAUCAGUAUCAGAGCAGGCAGUACACAAAAUUUUAUUUUUUAGAUAAUAUUUUAUUGAAUUUGAAACAUUUAUAACCAAAAAUAUGAUUAAUUAAACUCUUAACAUGGAGGCUUAAUAAUAAAGUAGAUUCUGAAAUAUUAAUACUGUUUACAGGAACUGCUCUAUUUAUUAGAAUCGACAUUGAUCAGUAUAUGGGUGGGAAGUUAACAAAAUUUUAUUUUUUAUAUGAUGUUCUAUUGAAUUUGGAAUAUUUAUAACCAAAAAUAUGAUUAAUUAAACUCUUGAUAUGGAGGCUUGGCAAUAAAGUAGAUUCUGAAAUACUAAUACUGUUUACAGGAACUGCUAUAUUUAUUAGAAUCGACAUUGAUCAGUAUAUGGGUGGGAAGUUAACAAAAUUUUAUUUUUUAUAUGAUGUUCUAUUGAAUUUGGAAUAUUUAUAACCAAAAAUAUGAUUAAUUAAACUCUUGAUAUGGAGGCUUGGCAAUAAAGUAGAUUCUGAAAUACUAAUACUGUUUACAGGAACUGCUAUAUUUAUUAGAAUCGACAUUGAUCAGUAUAUGGGUGGGAAGUUAACAAAAUUUUAUUUUUUAUAUGAUGUUCUAUUGAAUUUGGAACAUUUAUAACCAAAAAUAUGAUUAAUUAAACUCUUGAUAUGGAGGUUUGGUAAUAAAGUAGACUCUGAAAUACUAAUACUGUUUACAGGAACUGCUCUAUUUAUUAGAAUCGACAUUGAUCAGUAUAUGGGUGGGAAGUUAACAAAAUUUUAUUUUUUAUAUGAUGUUCUAUUGAAUUUGGAACAUUUAUAACCAAAAAUAUGAUUAAUUAAACUCUUGAUAUGGAGGUUUGGUAAUAAAGUAGACUCUGAAAUACUAAUACUGUUUACAGGAACGGCUCUAUUUAUUAGAAUCGACAUUGAUCAGUAUAUGGGUGGGAAGUUAACAAAAUUUUAUUUUUUAUAUGAUGUUCUAUUGAAUUUGGAACAUUUAUAACCAAAAAUAUGAUUAAUUAAACUCUUGAUAUGGAGGUUUGGUAAUAAAGUAGACUCUGAAAUACUAAUACUGUUUACAGGAACUGCUCUAUUUAUUAGAAUCGACAUUUAAAGAUGUGAAGAAGAAUCACCAAAUAAAUACUAAAGUAAGGGUUCAGGGUAUCAAAUUUUUCAUGUUCAAUCGAGUCUUUUGAAUAAGUUAAUGGUAUUAGAUUUACCUUUGGUAAAAUACGAUCCCGUAGGAUUUAUAAUUCUACUGGUUUGUUUGGAACUUCGUUUCCGAAUUGUCCCCACAAUAAAAAUAUGUCAAUAUGUCUGUGAAUACAGAGUGGUCAACUUAAUGAAUCGUGACGUUUUGUUAAAACUGAUAGAUUGGUUAAUAUAUCUAUACUAAAAUUAAUUUGUAUAUUCCGUAUUUUUUUCAGCAUUGCAGAUUAUGUUGCGGACGAAUUUAUAAAUGAUUAAAAUGUAUCUAUUAUUUAUGCAAGAAAUAUUUCAGAUUCUACUAUUGAAAAUUUAAGACUAAAGCAGGUUUCAAAUGUUAAUUAACGUUGUAUUAUUUAUCUUUGUAUGAUGGCAAGAUUCUAUUUUUGAUAGAUUUUGAGAUAUUGAAGCUUUUUUAUUAUUUCCAAAGCCUGGACCCUAAACGAACUUUAUAUUUCUUGCAUCAACAACGUUUUUAUUUUGAUUUGAAUGAAUAUGAAUGAACGUGUGGUGUGAUCAUAAAGACUUUAGUUAAGAAUCAGUAUUCUAAGAAUCGAUGUAUAUAUUUGGUAUUAUAGAUUUAAGUUUAAGAAAUGAAAGUUAUUUAUUAUCAUUUUCAUUACCGAGGACUACUUUAAUAUGACUAAUUGCAAGCCGUAAAAGUUUAAUAUAAAAAUUUCGCAACUAUGUUGUACAAAGUGGACUAACGAAAAGAUACCGGGAAGAACAUUAUUGGCAAUUAAUUUUUGCACUUUUGAAAUAGCCAAGGAAAAAACGUAUCGUUUUCAAGUCACCGUAAUCUCGCUGGCAUUCCUGAAAUAUUAAAUUCUUCGACAUAUAGGGCCGGGUGUGUUACAAAUUUCUUGGUUUAUUCACGUAAACUAGACUUUUGAGAAAAUCCCAUCGAAAGAAAUCAGCUGAAGAUAGGUCUGGGCCACGAAUACUUCUGUACAUAAUUAUUUUAUUUAUUCUAUUGUUGUAAUCCUCAAAAAUAUGAAACUACUGUUGUGAGAAUAAAAACGUAACGUCUUUGGUGUUUCAAUUAAAGGUUUUCUCUAUUCCAAAAUCUGUCAUUUGAUUUUUUGGCUUCGACUAAGCAGAAAUGUGAUUGCACUAACUGGUUCUAGGUAUCUAGCGAUUAUCCAGAAAGUUCAGGAGGGUUUUAGUGUCCACGAAUUAAUCUACGGCUACUUCGAUAGCUUCAUUGAAUACAGUCACCCAAAAGUUCUCAAUCAGCUUUACAAGAAAUAUUUCUCACGGUAUUAAUCUGCGUGAAAAGUGGUCAAUCUUAAAGCAAAGUUGACGUAUUUUCCGUAGUUUUGACCAUAUUGUAUGACAACUAUUAUCACUAACCAAAUAAAAGAGAAAAUACGGGUUUGUCGUUAAGAUCUUCGUAAAAUCUAUUUUAUGAAAAAUGUUGUAUCAUUCGAAGAUUUUUUCAAAUGAAUAAAAUUUAAAUUGUUUCUUAUAAUUUUGGUAUGUUGAUAAAAAUAGUUGCGUAAUUUUUUUAUUGGAUACUUACAGUGAAACAAAUUUUAAAAUUACGAUAUAUACUGUAAAUGUUGAAAUUAAUUUUUAAUUGUUUUUAUUUAUUAUUUAAUGUAAUUUAUCAUCUUUUUAGGAAUUACAAGACUUCGCAUAAUGGAGAACUGUCUAUAAGAACAUGAAUAUUUUCUAAAAGUAUAAAUUGAUUGGAAAUGUGCGUUGUAUAGUGAAAACUGUGAGAAAACACGCAAGUUGAAUUAUGAACUUAGCUUUUUAGAUACCAACUCUACCCUCCUUAGUUUUCUAAACACGAUCUACCAAAUAAACAUUAUUAUCUAAGCCAUCUGCCACUGAUCCAUUUAUAAAUCAAAACAACUAUUUAGCGUCAACAACAAUACAAUUGUUUUAAUCUAUUGCUGGAUUUAUAAAAGCCCUUCUACCAUUUAGUGGUGUAGGGUGUUGAUUCCAUUCAUUACAAUUAUGAGCUAGGUUCUUUGCUUCUCUCCAGUUUAUUCCUCGUUCAUUCAGUAUUUUCUCGGUCAACUUCUCUUUCUGUUGUUUCCAAUUUCCGUUUUCCAUAUUCUUUUAAAAUUCAUCCGUCGCCCCAACCAUUUUAGUUGCCUUUCCUCUAUUUAGGUCUUUUCUUUUAUCUAUGCUUUGUAUUUUAUCGUUUUCUGUCACUCCUUUCAAUCUAUUUAGGUAUUUCAUUUCUGUAGCCUGAAUAUUAUUUUUCUGUCGUUUUGUUAAUACCCAAGAUUCACAUCGGAAUGUUUGUAGUAUCCUUAGUUUGGUAUUUCCGGAUAUCUUUUUUUGUUUAUGAAUUUAAUGUUCACGGCGUAAUAUAGUUUAUUGCUUUUUGCAAUUCUGUUAAUUGUAUCUGCAUCUUGCGUCCUGUUUUCGUCUAUUAUUGUUCCUAGGUAUUGGUAGUGUUUAACUUGUUCCAGUGUUUUUGUAUCGAUUCUUAGAUUCUUUUCUUAUACUUUUGUCUUGUUCAUGUUCAAUAUUUUCUUGUAACUCUUUUUCGUUCUUUACUAUUAGCAUGACAUCGUCUGCAAAUGUUCUUUCUUUGUAGUUGUGAAUGCCCCACACAUAUUUUUUUACUCCACACAAUGCAUAUUAUAUUUAUGAUCUAGUCCAUGAAUAUGAAGAAUAAUAAUGGACUUAAACUUCCCCCUUAUCUUAAUCCUAUGUUUGUAGUGAAACCAUUCCAUAUUUUGUUAUUUCUCAUGACUGCAUUCUUUUGUUUUCAUAAAUAUUUUGUAUUAUCUUCAUAACUUCGACCAGUAUUUCCCAUAUUUUAUGAACCAAAUUUAAAUCAAUUCUUCUAGAAAUUUCUUUCCGUCCUUUCGUAUAAACAGAAUUGAAAGGUUCUAAAGCAAAUUUUUCCUAUUAUUCAUUUUGCCCGUUAAGUACCGUCACAUCAGUAAAAUUAUUUUCCUUAUUCUACCUUUCGAUACUCGAUGAAGACUGGCCAUCUUAUUUUGGAAAAAAUCAGUCGGGAUGUAGCUGCUCGUAGCUACUGGUAACUGUCCAUUAUUUCAUCAGUAAACUUUAUGGAUGGCCAAUUUUAAUUGAGUUUUAAAAUGCGGGCACGUUUACAGCGGUUGAUUCGUUGGACCCAAUUUUCCAUGACUUGGCCACACAUUUCGGCCUAAACGGCUGCUAUUUCGCGUUCAAUGUUGACUUUGAGCUCUUCCAACGUCGUCGGCUUAUUAGCAUAGACCAAUGACUCGACGUAGCCCUAAAGAAAAAAAUCUAUCGCACGAACGAGACGGCCAAUCCACUGGUCCAUUUCUUGAGAUGCUCCACAAACUUGUUCUUCAAUAAAUCGAUUGUAACGUGUGCUGUGUGGCUUGUAGCGUCGUCCUGUUGAAACCACAUGCUGUCCAAGUCCAUAUAUUCCAAUUUGGGCCAAAAAUAAUCGAUAAUCAUGGCGCGAUAAUGAUCACCAUUCACAGUAACGUGGCGACCACAUUAAACAGUUAUCUUUUGUGGAUGAAGUGGUUUUUCAUUAAGCACAUUUGGAUUUUCACCCGCCCGAUACCGCAUACCGAUACGUACGUCGCUUCGAAUGGUUCAUCGGCUUCAAUUUUUGAGUGAGCCUGAUCUUGUAUGGGUGUAUAGUAAGAUACUUACGCAAAAUUCGCCAUAAAGUGGUCUUGGCGAUGGCCAACACUUGAGAACGCCGUGGAAUUGACUGAUUUGGAUUAUUUGCUACGGACGUUUCAACGGCAGUGACUUUGACCGUAAUCUCACUGGCAACUUGUUACUGCCUGUCUACUAGGUCAAGAAUUACGACCGAAAAUUGUAGUUAACGCUCUUAAAGUAGUGGCCACCCACUCCGAGUUUCUGUAGUAAAUUUUCAAGAUUUGCAGACGUUGUUCGUUCGUGUAAUUCACCGUGAUGAAAAGGUUAUGUUUACUGAAUAAACUGGCAGCGACAGUUCGAUGUUAAGUGAAAAGGUGCGUUCACAAACUAAAUUCAAAAUUUUGACCAAGUCGAUUUUUUACAUUGCUGCCUCGUUGCCACUUUUUGGUGUUUUUUUUUUUUCUUAAAACGAUGUAAGUCGACUAUUGUCACAUUCGAUUCAAUUACAAAAUCACUUGGAUAUGAAACAAAUUAUUUAUCAUUAGAAAAAUACUUGAAUUUGUAUUUUUUUGUUUCAAUCUUUGAGGAAUGUUUAGAUUGGUUUUUUCUUUUAGAAAAUAUUUAUUAUAUAAGUAUUUAGAAAAUAAAGACAGUUUUCUAUUUUGACAAUUUAGAAAAAAAAACAUUGUAUACGUGCGUGUUCAAUUAGAAAAAUGGAUUAUAUAUAAUCAAUUUUAUUUAAAUAUUUGACAAAGAAAUAGCUGUAUGUAAAUUAUUUUUUAAUCUGUGAUUACUUAAUGUCAAUUCACUAAAACUGUUUGUUAUCUGUAAAUAUUCACAUUAAACACACAUCCAUCUUUUUAUCUGUCUGUGACGUAUUAUUUAGCAGAAUACAAAAUUCUGUGAAAAGUUCUCUUGCAGAUGAUACAGAAUAAAUAUUUUCCAAAAAAAAAAUACUUGGAGAAGUGUGGUUUGAUACAAACUACGAAUGCUUAACUUAAAUCAUCAGUAAUUUAAAAGUCUGGGCAUGAUUGUCUUCGUCAUAGACGUUUGUAAGCCAAUCUUUAAAUUAUGACGAAAAUGUCAUAUGUCGAGUCAAAAUUUUGAUUCGUCAAAAGCAGUUACACUGUGCGCGUUUUUUUAUAUUCGUUUUUGGGGCACUGCAAAUAUUUAUUUUCUUUAAUGAAUCCCUAGAUGUUAUUGUUGUUAAAUGGUGACGAAAUAGAAAAUUGUAUCGUUUCUCCUACUUUUCCCGUGCACACAAAUUUGUUCGAUCGCUCAAAUAAUUCUGACGACGUCGUGAAUGUUCUGACAUGCUGGGGUCUACCAGUAGAAAGACUCAUUGGAAAAGAAGCGUUUGUUCAUUCGAACGAACGCAUCAGACCACAUUUUUGUCUGAUUUUGCAUCCAAAGUAAUCGUAGUGUCACUUAUUUUUGGACUACACUUUCAAUCGUUACUUCAGUGCCAUAAAUUAUCAUCUAGAGAAGAAUGUCUGUAGCUGAGAUAUUUUUUGUUGUCAGAGAUUAAAGACACGUCACGAAACUCACAGGCUGCUACAAGAUGAAAAUAUCGAGUGCUUGUAUGCAGGUCAGGGACGCAGCCUUCCUUAUUUCAGACAAGUCUUAGAUUCAUAUGGAAAAUCGAAUGCUCCAAAUUUUUCGCAAACAAUCCUGCUCCCGCAGUUUAAUAAAAACAAUUAUCUCGUUAUUUCGUUUAUGAUAAUUUUUCUCGAAUUGAUUCAGAACUCAAAAGUAGUAGACGUGGUGUGGUUGACGAGUGAGAUUUUAUUCGGACCUAAAAACUUUCGUUAACUUCGACUUCUUUAACUGAUUUUUCAAUUUUCUCACUAUUUUUGGUUACUGUUUCAUAUUAUCCUUUUAUAUAACAAAAAAGAUGGAUGUAUGGAAUUUAAAUGCUUUUUAAGUCAUAUUUGUUGUCUGUUUUAUGUAAUUGUAAAAAAAUUUUUAUACUCGCUAUUUAUAUAUGUACAUAAAGAAGUAAAAUUAUUUUCAUAAACGCUUUCUUAACAUAA